UACAGAGGUCUCAAGCGUUGUUCGGAUUCAUUGGGCGUAAAGGGUGUGUAGGUGGCGCCGUAAGUCGGGUGUGAAAUUUCGGAGCUUAACUCCGAAACUGCAUUCGAUACUGCGGUGCUUGAGGACUGGAGAGGAGACUGGAAUUCAUGGUGUAGCAGUGAAAUGCGUAGAGAUCAUGAGGAAGACCAGUGUGCAAGGCGGGUCUCUGGACAGUUCCUGACACUGAGACACGAAGGCCAGGGGAGCAAACGGG
rnacentral:rRNA from 1 species